CAAUAGCGUAUAUUAAAGUUGUUGCGGUUAAAAAGCUCGUAGUUGGAUUUCUGCCGAGGAUGACCGGUCCGCCCUCUGGGUGAGUAUCUGGCUCAGCCUUGGCAUCUUCUUGAAGAACGUUACUGCACUUGACUGUGUGGUGCGGUACUCAGGACAUUUUACUUUUGAGGAAAUUAGAGUGUUUCAAGCAAGCGCACGCCUUGAAUACAUUAGCAUGGAAUAAUAAGAUAGGACCUCGGUUCUAUUUUGUUGGUUGUACACCGAGGUAAUGAUUAAUAGGGACAGUUGGGGGUAUUCGUAUUUAUUGUCAGAGGUGAAAUUCUUGGAUUUUCGAAUGAAGACGAACUACUGCGAAAGCAUUUACCAAGGAUGUUUUCAUUAAUCAAGAACGAAAGUUAGGGGAUCGAAG
rnacentral:rRNA from 1 species